rnacentral:lncRNA from 1 species
AAUUUUAGAAGCCGGAGAGAAACGCACCGAUGUAUUUAUUGACACCUUACCGUCUACAGCGUCAUUUUUUACUAUCGCCAAUAAUAGAGACUACACGCAAAUACAAGAUAGAUUUGAAACCGAAGAAGUAAAUGCAAAUUUACCGUCUAUAGCGUCAUUAUUGACAAGCGCCGAUACGAGAGAUUACCCGCGAACACAAGAUAGAUUAGAUUACCGCCAAAGCACAAACAUUCGUCAGAAACCUUGUAUUUAUUGCAACGAUAUGCACGACCCCGCAAAAUACUUAAAGGUUCCAGAUUAUGAACACCGGAUAACAAUUAUUAAACACAAGCACUUAUGCUUUAAUUGCUUGGGAUCGCACCGCGCAUGUGAAUGUAGAUCUCAAUUUCGUUGCAGAUUCUGUAACAAGAAUCACCAUACUAGUAUAUGUACCCAAAAUACCGACAGAUCGUACUUUGAUAAAACCGCUAAUGUAAGUAGAUAUGAUACGUCAGUUAACGCCGUAGUCAACAAUGAAAGUGUUGCCACUGCCACAAGUUUUCAUUCGUCCACGAUGCAAUCCCGUUCUAGCAUAUUAUUGAAAACGCCGUAGCACCCGUUUGGAGUGAACAUCAAGGAAUGAACACGAAUAUAUUGUUCGAUGAAGGAGCACAGCGUUCUUUCGUGACCGAGG